UUGUAUAUUUUUAAUGAAAUAAAGCAAAAUUGUUAGUGCUUUGUUUCUUAAACAACAGUGCAGAAAUUAAACGCUUGAUUAUUCUUUUGAAAAUGAAAGAAAAUUAAGCAGCGGCCAGACAACCGUAGGGGUGGUAUCCACAGAUGAAGGAUUUUUAAAUCUCCCCUUUGUCUACUGAUUCCAUCUCACAUUU